rfam:Stegodyphus mimosarum contig123196, whole genome shotgun sequence.
GCCUUCGUGGUGUAGUGGUCAGCACGCUCGACGCGUAUUCGAGAGGUCCGUGGUUCGACUCCCGACGAAGUCG